rnacentral:rRNA from 1 species
AGUGAACGCUGGCGGUAGGCCUAACACAUGCCAGUCGAACGGCAGCACAGUAAUAGCUUGCUCUUACGGGUGGCGCGUGGCGGACGGGUGAGGAAUACAUCGGAAUCUACUUUUUCGUGGGGGAUAACGUAGGGAAACUUACGCUAAUACCGCAUACGACCUACGGGUUAAAGCAGGUGAUCUUCGGACCUUGCGCGAUUGAAUGAGCCGAUGUCGGAUUAGCUAGUUGGCGGGGUAAAGGCCCACCAAGGCGACGAUCCGUAGCUGGUGUGAGAGGAUGAUCAGCGACACUGGAGCUGAGACAAGGUCGAGAAGACUACGGGAGGCAGCAGUGGGGAAUAUUGGACAAUGGGCGCAAGCCGGAUCAAGCCAUACCGCGUGGGUGAAGAAGGACUUCGGGUUGUAAAGCCCUUUUGUUGGGAAAGAAAAGCAGCAGGUUAAUACCCCGCUGUUCUGACGGUACCCAAAGAAGAAGCACCGGCUAACUUCGUG